rnacentral:rRNA from 1 species
GACGAACGCUGGCGGCGUGCCUAAUACAUGCAAGUAGAACGCUGAAGCGAGGAGCUUGCUCUUCUUGGAUGAGUUGCGAACGGGUGAGUAACGCGUAGGUAACCUGCCUGGUAGCGGGGGAUAACUAUUGGAAACGAUAGCUAAUACCGCAUAAAAUUGAUUAUUGCAUGAUAAUUAAUUGAAAGAUGCAACUGCAUCACUACCAGAUGGACCUGCGUUGUAUUAGCUAGUUGGUGAGGUAACGGCUCACCAAGGCGACGAUACAUAGCCGACCUGAGAGGGUGAUCGGCCACACUGGGACUGAGACACGGCCCAGACUCCUACGGGAGGCAGCAGUAGGGAAUCUUCGGCAAUGGGGGGAACCCUGACCGAGCAACGCCGCGUGAGUGAAGAAGGUUUUCGGAUCGUAAAGCUCUGUUGUAAGAGAAGAACGGGUGUGAGAGUGGAAAGUUCACACUGUGACGGUAUCUGACCAGAAAGGGACGGCUAACUACGUG